AUUGAACGCUGGCGGCAGGCCUAACACAUGCAAGUCGAGCGGAUGAAGGGAGCUUGCUCCUGGAUUCAGCGGCGGACGGGUGAGUAAUGCCUAGGAAUCUGCCUGGUAGUGGGGGAUAACGUCCGGAAACGGGCGCUAAUACCGCAUACGUCCUGAGGGAGAAAGUGGGGGAUCUUCGGACCUCACGCUAUCAGAUGAGCCUAGGUCGGAUUAGCUAGUUGGUGGGGUAAAGGCCUACCAAGGCGACGAUCCGUAACUGGUCUGAGGGGAUGAUCAGUCACACUGGAACUGAGACACGGUCCAGACUCCUACGGGAGGCAGCAGUGGGGAAUAUUGGACAAUGGGCGAAAGCCUGAUCCAGCCAUGCCGCGUGUGUGAAGAAGGUCUUCGGAUUGUAAAGCACUUUAAGUUGGGAGGAAGGGCAGUAAGUUAAUACCUUGCUGUCUUGACGUUACCAACAGAAUAAGCACCGGCUAACUUCGUG
rnacentral:rRNA from 1 species